rnacentral:rRNA from 1 species
UACGAAGGGGGCUAGCGUUGCUCGGAAUCACUGGGCGUAAAGGGUGCGUAGGCGGGUCUUUAAGUCAGGGGUGAAAUCCUGGAGCUCAACUCCAGAACUGCCUUUGAUACUGAGGAUCUUGAGUUCGGGAGAGGUGAGUGGAACUGCGAGUGUAGAGGUGAAAUUCGUAGAUAUUCGCAAGAACACCAGUGGCGAAGGCGAGUCUCUGGACAGCAACUGACGCUGAGGCACGAAGGCCAGGGGAGCAAACGGG